rnacentral:lncRNA from 1 species
GUCCUCAUUUGCUUGCAGUAGCUGUCUCCCGCUCCACUUGCCAUCAUUUUCCACAGAAUAGCUCAAAGCCUCGUAACCGCCGCGGCCGGCCAGCAGCAGGGCCAGGGCGGCCAGCGCGCCCAGCUGCCCCCGCAGCAGCUCCCCGCGACGCCGCCGCCUCCGCCGCUCCGCCGCCGCCGCCGCCGCCGAGGCGCCCAUCGCGGCCGCUCCGCUCCUCAGCGCCG